rnacentral:rRNA from 1 species
UACGUAGGUGGCAAGCGUUGUCCGGAAUUAUUGGGCGUAAAGCGCGCGCAGGCGGUUGCGUAAGUCUGAUGUGAAAGCCCGGGGCUCAACCCCGGUGUGCAUUGGAAACUGCGCAGCUUGAGUGCAGGAGAGGAAAGCGGAAUUCCACGUGGAGCGGUGAAAUGCGUAGAGAUGUGGAGGAACACCAGUGGCGAAGGCGCUUUCUGGCCUGUAACUGACGCUGAGGCGCGAAAGCGUGGGGAGCAAACAGGAUUAGAAACCC